rnacentral:lncRNA from 1 species
CAAUCGCUUCCUCUUAAUCUUAAAGAUUGGGCCAGGGCCCACUGUAUGGACCACAAGUCAGAUGGUCAAUUUGUCUUGACCUACUUUGAGCUGAAAAUGAUUGUUCUAGAGAGUGUCAUUUGCCAUGAUGAUACGUGGCCUUCCUACACACAGUGUUCCCAUUGUUUAGCCAUAACCUUCUAGAAUCUGUCUGCAUGGACAGAACAUCAAUCCCUACCUAGACUGGCCUGUGCCUAUAGAAUUUAUACUUCUACAAUGAUUUACUCAAGAGCUAGAUGUAAGACUCAGCUUGAGUUAACAGCCAGUGACACAACGUGAAUUACAGAAGACACAAUGCAACUGCAGGGAUAGACAGCAAAUAUAUUGACUAUGAAUAAGCUGUUUAAUUGGUGUGUGUGUGGUUUCCGACUCUUGUAUGUGUCGUCACACACAGCCUGCUGGUUGGAUCACCAAGUAGAACCUGUGAAAGCAGCACCACUUCUCGGAUGCAUCUUCAGUGGUGCUCACUGCAGGAAUAACAGGUGUGAGACCAUCAUUCUUGGGACUGGGAAAGCCACAAAGGAUAUGAGAGACGGGUUGUAGAUGACCGGUAUCCAUGAAGCAGAGCACAGAUGGAGGAAACGAUGUAUUCAAGGAUGUUCUGUUUCCAAAAGGAAGGAUGGAUGGUGGUAAAUAAUGCCUGGAGUUCGAGAAUUCACCUUCUUUGAGAAGAGCCCAUCAACAAAAAACAAAAGGAGGGAGAAGAAGUAAAAUAAAUACACUAAGAAUAAGUCUCA